rnacentral:rRNA from 1 species
UCAGCAGCCGCGGUAAGACAGAGGUCCCAAGCGUUGUUCGGAUUUACUGGGCGUAAAGGGCGCGUAGGCGGCCGGGCCAGUCCGGCGUGAAAGCCCGCAGCUUAACUGCGGAAGGGCGUCGGAUACUACCCGGCUCGAGGGUUGGAGAGGGGACUGGAAUUCCCGGUGUAGCGGUGAAAUGCGUAGAUAUCGGGAAGAACGCCAGUGGCGAAGGCAAGUCCCUGGACAACUCCUGACGCUGAGGCGCGAAAGCCAGGGGAGCAAACAGGAUUAGAUACCCUGGUAGUCCUGGCCCUAAACGGUGCGCAUUAGCUGUGGGCGGUUUUUGACCCCGCCCGCGGCGGUUAGCCAACGCGUUAAAUGCGCCGCCUGGGGAGUACGGUCGCAAGAUUAAAACUUAAAGGAAUUGGCGGGGGAC